CCUACGGGCGGCAGCAGUGAGGAAUAUUGGUCAAUGGACGAGAGUCUGAACCAGCCAAGUAGCGUGAAGGAUGACUGCCCUAUGGGUUGUAAACUUCUUUUAUAUGGGAAUAAAAUGUUCCACGUGUGGGAUUUUGUAUGUACCAUAUGAAUAAGGAUCGGCUAACUCCGUGCCAGCAGCCGCGGUAAUACGGAGGAUCCGAGCGUUAUCCGGAUUUAUUGGGUUUAAAGGGAUCGUAGGUGGAUUGUUAAGUCAGUUGUGAAAGUUUGCGGCUCAACCGUAAAAUUGCAGUUGAAACUGGCAGUCUUGAGUACAGUAGAGGUGGGCGGAAUUCGUGGUGUAGCGGUGAAAUGCUUAGAUAUCACGAAGAACUCCGAUUGCGAAGGCAGUUCACUGGACUGCAACUGACACUGAGGCUCGAAAGUAUGGGUAUCAAACAGGAUUAGAUACCCGGGUAGUC
rnacentral:rRNA from 1 species